UCGACCUUGUUGAGGAUCAGGCGCGACGGCGCCUGCGUCGCGCCGAUCUCGCCGAUGACCUCGCGGGUGACCGCGUACUGGUCGCGGAAGGUCGGG
rnacentral:tRNA from 1 species